rnacentral:pre_miRNA from 1 species
CUCAACUCUACUCGAGUGAGGUAGAGCCGCGGUAUUGCAUCACCACGACGACAUCAGUUUGACGAAAAUUUGAU